rnacentral:rRNA from 1 species
UACGGGGGGAGCAAGCGUUGUUCGGAUUUACUGGGCGUAAAGGGCGCGUAGGCGGCCAGCACAAGUCAGUUGUGAAAUCUCCGAGCUUAACUCGGAAAGGUCAACUGAUACUGUGCGGCUAGAGUGCGGAAGGGGCAACUGGAAUUCUUGGUGUAGCGGUGAAAUGCGUAGAUAUCAAGAGGAACACCUGCGGCGAAGGCGGGGUGCUGGGCCGACACUGACGCUGAGGCGCGAAAGCCAGGGGAGCGAACGGG